UCCACACCGGCAAGCCAUGAGUCCAGGCUCGUGCUCGAAGGGUUAAGAGGGAUAUUAGAAGCCAUGACGGAACUGAAGAUUCAACCAGUUAAACUAAUCUUGGAAGGUUUAUUCAAGCCGUGACAUAAACAAGAAGAAGAAGUUUGUUUCACUGCCAUUAAGGGAGGAGUCAGUGAGGUGAUCGAGGCUGGCUGCCGAACUGUGGUGAUUGAGGAGUUUGCAUGGUUUCUGUUGGAGUUGAAGACAAAUACAGGGAAGUAAUGCUGCUGCGAGUGGCUUACAAGGGCUGUAAGAAGAAGGGGCUUGCUGCGAAGCUGGUGAUGGAACUCGAGCUUAACAGUGGAUGGAGACUCUCGAGAAGGAGCUGGUUUGGUGCUGAUAUAUACCAGCGAUAGUGUCAGUAAAGUUUCGAAGUUAUGGGAGAAACGAGUUCAGCUGCUGCUGCUGUUGAUUCUCGACAAUGAAGGAAGCUAUGAUCGAUGGCAGUGAUGACACGGAACUAAUGGUGCUGGAGUAGUGGAGAUGAUGAACAUGAACAGAGAGUGGUUGAUGCUGCUGCCAGAGUUUGAUUAUUGCCACUAUAGAAGAAAGAGUUGAGCUCGAGUUUGAAGAUGCAGUUGAACGAGAUUGUGAUGGUGACUGCUAGUGCUGAUGCCAUUAUCGGCUGUAGAAUAUGGAAGCUGCUGCUGUGACUAACUUUAACAAUGGAGAUCGAGUAACAGCAAUGAUGUGUUAGAUGGAGAAGAAGGAGCUGAGCUCGUGGACUGUUGGCAGUGAUAGCCAGAGAGAUUAGAACUAAAGCUCAAGUGCAGGAAUGGAUUAAUGGUUGCUGGUGACGAGAUGGGUUGAGCAGUAAGAGUGAUGACGAGAUCGAGCAUGAAGAUGGAGGUUUGAAGUUGGGUUCUAGUAAGGAGCUGACGAUGAACUAAUGGAGCUCGAUGUUUGCUGUAGAUUGAGAAGAACUCGGAUCAUACAGGGAUUAAGGUAGAGAAUGGAUUAUGAAUCAGAGAAGUAAUGAUCAGUGAUGCUGCUGCAGUGAUGCUGGUAUUAUUUGGCUGCUGUGAAGAAAGGAAGGUCGAUGAUGCUGUUAAUGGUGUUAAUGGGAGAAGCUUGAAGCUCGAGAAGGACAUUGAAUGAGCUGCUGUUGUUGCUAGUUACUGGCGAUGGCAGUGACGAGAAGACGUGCUGGUGAUUUGAUUGGGAUGAAAUUGAGCUCGAGAUAACAGAGAAUGAUGGUGCCGAGGGAAAGAUGGAAUUGAGAAUAGGCUGUUAGUUCCACAGAACUGACAAGCCAAUAACAGGAAGAUGGGCUGGACAUGGGUGACGUGAGCCCAAUUGUUUUGCUUGCGGAACUUAGACCAGUUUGCCGUGGCUCACUUUGAGCAGCCUCGGACGUGACUUGUUUGGCGAGUUUGGAAACUACUUUGGCACGCGGUGUGAUGCACGGGACACAACUAGGUUUCCUAGUUUUCUUAAAGAAGAGGUUACAAAACUCUAUAUAUAAGGAAGCCUGGAGACAAUUUGGGAUAUCUUGUACUCACCGUUUUUCUCCCCCUCAGGGGGGAGAACUAUCUUUUUUCUUUGUUCUUUUUAUUGUUAAGGAUGAAUUCAAAGUUCUAAUUGUGAAGCUCAAUUAUUUACAAGUUUGUUUCAAGUUUUAAAGUUAAUCAUUGUGGAUUGUUUUUACUA